rnacentral:rRNA from 1 species
UACGGGGGAGCAAGCGUUGUCCGGAUUACUGGGCGUAAAGGGCGCGUAGGCGGUCGUGACAAGUCACUUGUGAAAUCUCCGGGCUUAACUCGGAACGGUCAAGUGAUACUGUCGGACUAGAGUACAGAAGGGGCAACUGGAAUUCUCGGUGUAGCGGUGAAAUGCGUAGAUAUCGAGAGGAACACCUGCGGCGAAGGCGGGUUGCUGGGCUGAUACUGACGUGAGGCGCGAAAGCCAGGGGAGCGAACGGG